rnacentral:rRNA from 1 species
GCGCGAAACCUCCGCAAUGCGGGAAACCGCGAUGGGGUCAGCCGGAGUGCCGAUGCUUGCAUCGGCUGUCGGGGAGCCUAAAAAGCUCCCCAUAGCAAGGGCCGGGCAAGGCCGGUGGCAGCCGCCGCGGUAAUACCGGCGGCCCGAGUGGCGGUCACUAUUAUUGGGCUUAAAGCGUCCGUAGCCGGGUUGGGAAGUCCUCCGGGAAAUCUGGCCGCUUAACGGUCAGAAUGCCGGAGGAUACUCCCAGCCUAGGGAGCGGGAGAGGCCGAGGGUAUUCCCGGAGUAGGGGUGAAAUCCUAUAAUCCCGGGAGGACCACCUGUGGCGAAGGCGCUCGGCUGGAACGCGUCCGACGGUGAGGGACGAAGGCCAGGGGAGCAAACCGGAUUAGAUACCCGGGUAGUCCUGGCUGUAAACGAUGCGGACUUUGUGUCGGACAAGCUAUGAGCUUGUCCGGUGCCGGAGGGAAACCGUU